UCAAGUCAUUGUUAGGCUCCAACACUUCCCGAUUUAGUUCCACCACCUAGUAAACUUCAUUUCACUAGUACAACUAAAACCAACCAAUGUCACUAACAACCAACCGAAGUUUCACAACUUAUCCACACCAUGAGAAUCACAACUAGUAACAAAGUUCAAGAACAAUACCUCGCAUUGUGUGAAAGAAAUUCAACCAUACCUUGAACCUUAUAA
rnacentral:lncRNA from 1 species